rnacentral:rRNA from 1 species
AGUGAACGCUGGCGGUAGGUCUAACACAUGCAAGUCGAACGGCAGCACAGUAAGAGCUUGCUCUUACGGGUGGCGAGUGGCGGACGGGUGAGGAAUACAUCGGAAUCUACUUUUUCGUGGGGGAUAACGUAGGGAAACUUACGCUAAUACCGCAUACGACCUACGGGUGAAAGCAGGGGAUCUUCGGACCUUGCGCGAUUGAAUGAGCCGAUGUCGGAUUAGCUAGUUGGCGGGGUAAAGGCCCACCAAGGCGACGAUCCGUAGCUGGUCUGAGAGGAUGAUCAGCCAAACUGGAACUGAGACACGGUCCAGACUCCUACGGGAGGCAGAAGUGGGGAAUAUUGGAGAAUGGGCGCAAGCCUGAACCAGCCAUACCGCGUGGGUGAAGAAGGCCUUCGGGUUGUAAAGCCCUUUUGUUGGGAAAGAAAAGCAGCAGGUUAAUACCCCGCUGUUCUGACGGUACCCAAAGAAUAAGCACCGGCUAACUUAGUG